AUAGAGAAUGAACAGAGAGAGAGAGGGAGAGACAGAGAGAGGGAGAGAGGGAAAGAGAGAGAGAGGGAGUGCCGGCAGGUAGAACAGGUUUGGGCGAGGCGGUCAAGACACUCAGCAGAGAGACAGAGAGACAGAGAGACAGAGAGACGAGUCAGAUUUAUUGUUUCGGUCAAAUAAAACUUCAUUUUUCCAGAUACGAAGGACCUGAAUCUGUUUUAGACAGAAGAAGAAGAAGCUGCCAGAGGAGUUGGACGGUUUUUAAAAAGACAGAAGAAGACGAAGGUGGACACACCUGAGGACAUAUUGGUUGUUCCACCGCCCCUCCCCCUCUGACCCGUCCUGUGACAUCAUCAAAAUGUCAUCAAAAAUCAACAUUUCUUUGGAGAACCCGUAUGGUCAGGUGACCAUCCCUCGGGCUAAGCUCCGCCCCUCAGAUGAUGCAACAGUGAUAUCCAAUCCGGUGGCUCUGAGCAGCGAGAACCCAUACGCCCAGAAGGGCUCAGCCCCGCCCCCCUACACGGUGACGGAGGAAGAGGAGGAGGAAGAGGCGGGGCGAUGCCCAGCCUGCUGCUACCGCUGCCGCAGGAGGAAGUGAUGUCACCGAACCAGAACCAACAGAACCAGAACUGGGCUGCAGAUCCGAAGCUUAGAGACUUCAAAGGAAACAGUUCACACAGACUUUGGACCAUCGAUUCUGGUUCUGGAGCUCAGGACAGAACCCGAACAGAACCUGGACAGAACCCGAACAGAACCUGGACAGAACCUGGACAGAACCUGGACAGAACCCGAACAGAACCUGGACAGAACCUGAACAGAACCCGAACAGAACCUGAACAGAACCUGAACAGAACCUGGAUAGAACCUGGAUAGAACCUGGACAGAACCUGGACAGAACCCGAACAGAACCUGGACAGAACCUGAACAGAACCCGAACAGAACCUGAACAGAACCUGAACAGAACCUGGAUAGAACCUGGACAGAACCUGAACAGAACCCGAACAGAACCUGAACAGAACCUGAACAGAACCUGGAUAGAACCUGGACAGAACCUGAACAGAACCUGAACAGAACCUGAACAGAACCUGGAUAGAACCUGGACAGAACCUGGAUAGAACCUGAACAGAACCUGGAUAGAACCUGGACAGAACCUGGACAGAACCCGAACAGAACCUGGACAGAACCUGAACAGAACCUGAACAGAACCCGAACAGAACCUGAACAGAACCUGGAUAGAACCUGGACAGAACCUGAACAGAACCUGGACAGAACCUGAACAGAACCCGAACAGAACCUGAACAGAACCUGGACAGAACCUGAACAGAACCUGGAUAGAACCUGGACAGAACCUGAACAGAACCUGGACAGAACCUGAACAGAACCUGAACAGAACCUGGACAGAACCUGGACAGAACUUGCUUCAGAACUCUGAGAAAUUAGAUUUAAAUGUUUGUUUUUUAUAUUUUUAGAUUUAUUUAGUUUUAGUUCCUUCGAAAAGUCAAGAUGGCUGCCUGGCUGCCGUUGCCAUGACAACUCCACCUGAAGACUUUGUUUUACACUUUAAAUCAUUUUCAUAUAAAAUGUAAAUCGGAUCCUAUUUAACGAUAUUUAAUCAAAGUUCAGAAAAACGUUUUGAAUUUUAUUUUCAACAAAAAGAUUUUGAUGAGAUUUUUGUUCCAGCAGCAGAAAAACGAACCGAAUCAUGACGUCAUAACCAGGCAGAGAUUAUGGCUGUGAAACAUUUAUGAAUCAUUAUUUUAUUGCUGAAAUGCUUGUUUUAUUUCUGGCUUCAGGAAAAAUGUUUCUCCAUAAAGUAUUUUUGUUUUCUGCAUCUUUUCAAAAUGCCUGUGAAGCCGCAGCGAGUUGGAGAUGAAGAACAAAAUAAAAUCAUGAUUUGCUUUGCU